rnacentral:rRNA from 1 species
AACGAACGCUGGCGGCAUGCCUAACACAUGCAAGUCGAACGAGAUCUUCGGGUCUAGUGGCGCACGGGUGCGUAACGCGUGGGAACCUGCCCUUUGGUUCGGAAUAACAGUUGGAAACGACUGCUAAUACCGGAUGAUGACGAAAGUCCAAAGAUUUAUCGCCAGAGGAUGAGCCCGCGUAGGAUUAGCUAGUUGGUGUGGUAAAGGCGCACCAAGGCGACGACCCUUAGCUGGUCUGAGAGGAUGAUCAGCCACACUGGGACUGAGACACGGCCCAGACUCCUACGGGAGGCAGCAGUGGGGAAUAUUGGACAAUGGGCGAAAGCCUGAUCCAGCAAUGCCGCGUGAGUGAUGAAGGCCUUAGGGUUGUAAAGCUCUUUUACCCGGGAUGAUAAUGACAGUACCGGGAGAAUAAGCUCCGGCUAACUCCGUGCCAGCCGCCGCGGUAA